rnacentral:lncRNA from 1 species
AUAACAAGCCAGAACGAAAUGUACAUAGGAGUAGCAUCAAGGACUUUAAGCCAAAGAUUGAACGAGCAUAAGAAGGAUAUUGAAAAAGUGAAAUUAACUACAGCGUUGGCAAUACGUGCUUAUGAGAAUGACGUAGAAGUGAGAUGGCAUGAAGCCGAAGUAGUAAGAACUGUAAGAAAAGAAGAGCAUGCAACCUUGGCUGAAACCAUGGAAAUCUUUACUAACGCAAAAAGGGAAAACCUUUUAAACGAAUGUCACCCGCAAGAGCUCCCCCGGCUUGGAAAUAUCUGCUAAGCAAGGCGGGUUGCUAACCUUUUAAUAAUUGCUGAGUGCUGAACCCCGAGUUUAUUUA